GGGGGCGGUGCUCGGUUCGUUCCUCCGUCGCAGAAGAAGAAGUGUUUUUUUCCGGCGGUGCUUUCGGAGCGACUCAGUCUAGUUUGAGCAUCAGGAGCUUUAUUUGGUUCAUUUGGUUCAUUUGGUUCGUUUGGUUCGUUUGGUUCGGUUCUGAAGGAUCCAAUGUAUCGUGACCGGCCCCCAACGAGGGGCGGAUACCCACGGCCCUACCCGCCGGCCUUCAGGUCCAAACAUCCGUACGACCCGGCCUACAGCCACCACCGGGACCCGGGCCCGUACCGACCCUACCCGAACCACCACAACCACCCCAGCCCGGGGGAGUACCGGUCCGGAGGGCCGAGCUCUGAGUCCUCACACUUUGAACCAAACCUGCUCAUCACCGUCGGCAACCAGCCCGGCAAAUCUACAGGUCCCGCCCCCUCACGCCACCCUGACAGGGGCUUUCUGCCCCGUCCUGAAUAUGAGCGCGUUCGGGGGCGGAGCAAGAGCCGGGGGCGGAGCAAGAGCCGGGGGCGGAGCAAGAGCCGGGGGCGGAGCAAGAGCCGGGGGAGGAGCAAGAGCCGGGGGCGGAGCAAGAGCCGGGGGCGGAGCAAGAGCCGGCACUUCAGUCCGGACCAUGAACGCGCCAAGAGCCAGGAGCGGAGCAAGAGUCGCCCUCGCAGUUGGUCUCGGUCCAGGUCCCGGUCUAAGUCCAGGUCCAGAGGACGAAGCAGAGGGAGAUCUUAUGGGCAGAGCCAAGUAUCCGGCCACGCUCGCAGCAAGAGCCGCCCUCGGAGCCGCAGCAGCUCCAGCUCCUCCAGCGGCAGCUCCAACAUGUUCCUGGACUCAGCGUUCUCUGAGCUGGGGAGGGCCCGCAGACAGAAGGAGAUGGACGACCUCCUCAACAUUCCCACAAAGUCCAUCCUCAAAAAGUACAGCGACUCUCCCUCAGUCACGGUAAGACAUCCAUCCACUAAUUUUUCCCAAAUACUGUUUUCCACAUUAAUUUUUUAAAAUUCCGUGUUUUA
rnacentral:lncRNA from 1 species